ACUAAAAUACUAUGAUACCUUCGCAUAAUGAUACCUUGCACUCUACUCUGCUAAUGUUGCUAUGAGCAACGAACUAAUGUUUAUUCAAAUAAAAACAUGAAAAAAUUAGGCUCCGUGGCUCCGGUAGGUAAAUUAAACUUUCGACCUUGCUGGGUGGACGAAGGAGUUGCAAAGACGUGCGAUGACCUAACUGGAUUUCAGCGGGCGAUUCCCCACCAGGUGCGCCGUUGCUGCGGUUUAGCGCGUCUAAGUGAAGCGGGUUCACGGAACUGACUAUGAAUCGUCCGGAAGUUUCCCCAGAAUUGCACGAUCUGUAUAACCCGAGAGUUCCACGGCAUAAAAAAGGCGUGUUAAUUUGUGCGCAUGAAGCAGUCAUGAUUGUGUCAUGUAAAACUAGCAAUUAAAAUUUCUCAGUAUUAAUUUCCUUUUGAAUUCCCUCAUCAAUUAUCUCAAAAAAUACUCCCUGAAAUCAUCCUAAAUUCCUAACUACCAAUCUCUCAUUUCUCCUAAAACUCAUGACUAAAAAAAUAUAUAUAUUUCUGCCAGAAUUUUCCUCACAGAUACCAGACAGCAACAAGAUUCUUAUCCAGAAUACCCACUAAAUAUCAUACGCUCCCUUAGAAUGCCCAUGUAUUUAGUUCUGAUGCUGCAUGCUGGGAUAUGAGGGAAUGUAGUUGGAUAGUGGUGUAGAUAAUGAAGGAUAUUGGACGUUACUGAGAGGCCUGGAUGUCAGGGAGUCAACAACAACACAUGAAUUUAAUAUGUAGUCAGUGUUGAAUCAGGAGCUUCAGACUAAAGCUUUUCUCUGACUCCACCGGAAUUCGACCAGCUUCAGUUCCGACUAACGCCCCGUUGGUGGGAAUCGGCAGCCAAGAAUCCAAACAAACUGAAGCAUUUCAGGCUAUUUCUUUAAUUAUUACGGUGGUACAUAGAAGCCUGAUAACUUCGAGAUGACAAAUAAUGCUCAAUACCAAAAGUUAUCUAAAAAGCCUUGUAAACAACCUCCGAUUCGAAACGUUCGAAACACUUUUCUGCGAGAUUAUCAUGACACAUUGAAAUUAGUUUGCUGUUUUGAGCUACUACAUCACUGCUACUGUGAGCUACUGCGUCACAAAGUUAGUAAAAUAUAAGGUAGUCAGCCAAACGUCAAACUUGGGUACCGGGGACCAAAUGUAGUACUAGAAGUGGUACCCGGUUUGAGCCUGAGUGCUACGACUUUAUUUGGACUUUGGUAAAAUUACUAACCGUACCUAUGAUUCUCAACCGACAACAAUUCCCAGUUAAUUCCACUAAAACACUGUCAACUUAACUAGCAGUGCAGUUAACAUAACCAAAAGUAAUCUUAAUUUAACAAAUGAGCAUUGUAUUAUUAACCAUACUGUGAUGUAAAAUGCGUGUCCUGGAAAAAUUAACAAUGUUUUGUUGUUGAGACGACUAUGCUUUUAGUUGAAUUUACUACAAUGCAUUGUAAUUUCAAGCAUAUUUCAGUUACCUUAACAGAUUUUGUUGUCGGUUGAGAAUCAUAGGUACGGUUAGUAAUUUUACUAUGGAAUCGGUAGUUUCCACAACAAAAUUUAUUUCAGUGUAUGGGAAAAUACAAAAAAAAGGAAAAACUCAAGUUCCUGUAUACUUUUUGAGUUCCACUUUGGUCCCAUAUCAACUGUGCAAAAUUUCAGAUCGAUCGGAAAAACUAUAUUUUAGCGCCCGCCAUUCUUAGUUUUUCAUACGAUUUACUAUGGGGAAAUUUUACUCCUGCAAAGAAAAAUCGCUAGGAGUCACCCCUAGAGCCCUAAAAAUAAGUCGACGAAUGAUUUCUGUAGAAAAAUUCACUAGGAAUCAGACCUCUGAAGACAGCAAAGCGAUGCGACGUUCGUGGAAAAAGUUAUUAGGCCUCACCCGAUCGAUAAAAUAACAAGAUUUUAUUUUUUAUUGUUAUUCCUUACAUGUUAAACAGCGUUUGCAUGCCAUUCGAUUUUCAGUCAAUAACUUUUUUCACAUGCCUCAGAUCGCUUUGUGGUCUUCGGAGGGUUGGUUCCUCGUAAAAUUUCCAAUAGAAACCAUUCAUCGAUUUAUUUUUAGGGGUUAAGGGGCAACCUGUGGCGAUUUUUCAUUGAAAAAGUGAUUUUCCCCAUACUAAAUCGUAUGAAAACUUAAAAUGGCUGGCGCUAAAAUAUAGUUUCUCCGAUCGAUCUGAAAUUUUACACAGUUGAUAUGGGACCAAUAUGGAGCUCAAAAAGUGUACAGGAGUAAAAUGUCUUUUUGUGUCCCACGCUAGUACCUACACUCAGCGAAAAAAACUAGCGAAAUUCAUCGAAAUACCUUAUGAAAAUUUGCUAUAACUAAUUCUUAUGUCAUCCAUAAGAAUACCUUAUGAAAAUUGAUCGUGCUUGCUAUGACAAAUUUCAUAAGAUAAACUUAUGGAAAGAACAAAAAAAAUCUUAAAAUGAUGCAGACUGGAUUCGAUCCAUGAACGUCGGAAUCACCGAGCCCGUGUUUUAUCCACACGGCUACCGACGCUUGAGAAUACCAUGUUGCUAAACACGAAUAAAAGCCAAGCUGUGAGACGAUUUUACGUCAUAGAGUGACCUUAUGAAAUUCAUCCGAAUCAUUAUGAAUUAUUUAAAGUCCGUUUCAUAAGUUGGGCCUUAUGGAAAACUUAAGGUUAUUUGGCUGAGUGUACGCUGAAAAUGAGCUUAAACAUUUAUUUGCGUCACCAGGCGCCCGACGACAGAACUACAGUGGAUGCUGUCAAGAGAUCCAUCGAUCACAUCGAGCAAUCACUGCCAGCUCCCGACAACUCCUGGCUUGUACGACCCAAGGAAUUAAGCAGCAUAACCCGAAGCUUGAAGGUUAAGAAGGCGCCCGGCCAUGAUGGGAUCAGCAAUUGGCUGUUAAAACACCUUCCUCGGAAAGCCUUAGUGGUUCUCGCCAAAAUUUUCUCAGCUUGUCUAAAAUUAUGCUACUUUCCCGCUGAAUGGAAACACGCAAUAGUUGUCGCGAUCCCAAAAGCCAAAAAGGAUGCUUCCGUUCCAUCAAACUACAGGCCCAUCAGUCUACUUCCUACUCUAAGCAAACUUUUCGAGCGCAUCAUCAGUGACAAUUCGUUCGUUGAGAGCUCGUUAGAUGGGCUGUCUCGAUGGUUGAAUGUUCAAUGGUGUACACUCUGAAAUGAUUAAAAACGUUCAUCGUUUAAAUCUUAAACUUUUUUGUUUUCCCGCCGUUUACACUUUGCUUAGUUUAACAAGUAUACUUGAUUCGCCUAAAAAGUUAAACUAUGCAAGAAUUUUAUGAGCAUAUUAUAAGUAGGACUAUGUUAUCCACCGCGUCGACAAAAAAAGUUUUCAACUUGAGUCGGCCCGGCAACCGAAUUCAACAGCAGCCGACAAUUUUGAGUUCUGCAACGAUUUCCGAGUUCCACGUCCAGCGAUAUGAUCGAAUACGAUUGAAUUUUACCGAGAAAUUGAAGGUAAUUGUUCAACGUGAGUGAUUCUAACAACGAUUGAAUGGAAUUUUUGUUGCAGGCCUCAAAAUCGACCAUAUAUCUUCGGCCAACGCGCGAAACCAUCCAAGCGAUUCCUAAUCAUUCCGAGGUUGAAAAUUAAGAGACCAACAUGGCAGGGAAAGUGC